rnacentral:rRNA from 1 species
AUGGUCCGUGCAGAUGUUAUAGCAGCAGUUAAGGAAUUCUUUAACUCAGGUAUCAUGCCGGAUUCUGUUAAUGAUACAAUCAUUGUUCUGAUUCCGAAAAUUCCAAAUCCGGUUAAAUUAAUAGAUUUUUUCCCUAGCCUUUGUAAUGUUAUCUAUGAAGUUGUUGCUAAGUUCCUGGUGAAUAGACUGAGACUUGUACUCGAUGAUAUUGUUUCUCCUACUCAGGGUACAUUUAUUCCGGGUAGAAUGAUCACAGAUAAUGUCUUAAUUGCAUUUGAGUGCAUUCAUUAUAUCAAGCAAGAGAAGGACCCAGAAGAAGGCUUAUGUGCUCACAAGAUU